rnacentral:rRNA from 1 species
AUUGAACGCUGGCGGAAUGCUUUACACAUGCAAGUCGAGCGGCAGCGCGGGGCAACCUGGCAGCGAGCGGCGAACGGGUGAGUAACAUAUCGGAACGUACCCAGUCGUGGGGGAUAACUAUCCGAAAGGAUAGCUAAUACCGCAUACGACCUGAGGGUGAAAGCGGGGGACCGAAAGGCCUCGCGCGAUUGGAGCGGCCGAUAUCGGAUUAGCUAGUUGGUGAGGUAAAGGCUCACCAAGGCGACGAUCCGUAGCUGGUCUGAGAGGACGACCAGCCACACUGGAACUGAGACACGGUCCAGACUCCUACGGGAGGCAGCAGUGGGGAAUAUUGGACAAUGGGCGCAAGCCUGAUCCAGCCAUGCCGCGUGAGUGAUGAAGGCCUUAGGGUUGUAAAGCUCUUUUGGCGGGGACGAUAAUGACGGUACCCGCAGAAUAAGUCCCGGCUAACUUCGUG